AUGACCGCCGGAGGAGCGACAUCGGUGUCGGUUCAUCAAUCAGCAAGCCAGGGUGAGGGGGGGACAAAAUCCCAAGACAUGGCAUCAGAAGGAUCUUGUCCAAAUGCAGAUAGCUACAAUUCAGACUAUUCUGAAACUGCAUCAAGGCUGGAUGUCAAUGUGGGCGAAAGUCUGCUUGCACCGGAAAGGGACAAGAAACGUGGCAGGCCAACGACAAGCAGGGACAAGGCUCCGUAUGAGAAGGGAGCAACAAAAGAUCAAGGUUUUGUUCUAUUUCUAGGGGCAAAGGACACAAGUCAACACAAGUCAAGCACGUGCCCCGACCGUGGUGAUGCCCCUAAAAAGGAAAGGGAAGUGGGCACAUGCAGCAAGUGUGGGUUGCCCGGGCAUAGGAAAACUACGUGCAACAAGCCACUGGUGUCCUCGAUGCCUGGCGUUCCUCCGUCUCAUUAG
rnacentral:rRNA from 1 species